UGAGGAACCUGCCCCGAAGACCGGGAUAACCCUCCGAAAGGAGAGCUAAUACCGGAUGUCCCCACUGGAUCGCAUGGUCUAGUGAGGAAACGGACUCCGCUUCGGGAGGGCCUCGCGGCCUAUCAGCUAGUUGGUGGGGUAACGGCCCACCAAGGCAUCGACGGGUAGCUGAUCUGAGAGGACGAUCAGCCACACUGGGACUGAGACACGGCCCAGACUCCUACGGGAGCAGNAG
rnacentral:rRNA from 1 species